UAACAAGCUUCUGAUAACAACUCAAACAUGUAGAAAAAACGGUGUAUUUUUCAUUCUUUUACAAAAAACGGUUUUCAUUUUAUAACAAAGUGAUAACCACAGGGACCAUAACUGUAAUUUACUCAUAUUUUCAAUCGCCGAUCUCAUUCCUCAUUCCCCAAACUGUUUAUCUCGAUCGUCGUCAUCAUCAUCUGAUUUGCUUUGUUCGUUCGCCGCUGCUCCGUCAACCGGUCGAUUUUUCUCGAUCGUCUUCAUCCCUACCCGUGGAAAGAAGUGUCUCCAGAAAGAUGAUCAGCUCAUUCACAUAUUCGUUGUCACUUUUUCAUUUACCAGAGUAUUAGGUUCAGAGGGGCAAGAUUGUCCAGGUGGGUGAGGUUUAUCACCAAAAGGGUGUUGACCCAUGUCCGAGACAAUUUCAUCAUCAAAUUCCCACCAUACCCCUGUGUCUUGAUCUUUAAUAUGGGCUACAUAGUGGCCACUAUUUACAGCUACACCCUUGUGAAUCAAAACUGCUGAUAAAUCAUAUAUCAAUUCUCCCAUGUCAACAUGUCCAGGGAAACAAAAUGCAGAGGAGCCAGAAUCGAUUGAUUGGGAGUACUACAGGAAAGGUCUUUCUUACCAAAAAACAAACAUGCAUACACUUUUAUACCAACAAACCUAUUGAUUGGUAGUAAUUUUAAUUGCAGUUUUUGUGCAACCAUAGAAAUCAUUCGAUUAGGGUUCCAAUUUUUAUUGUUUUUCUAACUUUAUUUUAGAUAAAAUUCAAAAUAUUUUAUAGAUAAUUUUGAAUUUUUGGUCCUAUAUCUUUUUUGUGUAUUAACAAUCUUGUUUAAAAUCAUUUGAGUAAUGGCCUCAUUUUGUGUAUACUAUCUAGACACCCCUUUUUCCCUUCCUAACAUUCCUUUAAACUAUGUUAUAAUGUGCUAAGUUGGUGAAGGGUAAAACGGUCAUUUAUCAUACUCAAAUAGUCUUUAUGUAUGCAAUAUAUUUUUUUUAAAUUUGAAUUUUUUAAAAAGUAGUAUGCUUAAACUUUUAAAAAGGGUAAAACAAUCACUCUACAUUGUAGAUUCCAACCUAAUAUGAUGUUCAAAUUCCUUUUGUCAGGUAUAUACUAGAUAACAAGUUUCACCUAACAACAUUUCUUGAAGAUGACACCAAAUCUAAUGGAUAUUCUUCAAAAGAAUUGUCAUGGCUUCCUAAUAUGGUUAAAGAUUUUGUUCUUCCUGCUAGCUUCCCUGGAUCUGUUUAAGAUGAUUACUUGGAAUACAUGUUGUUACAGUUUCCAACCAAUGUCACUGGAUGGAUUUGUCACACAUUGGUCACUUCAAGUCUUCUAAAGGCAUGUCAAUCUAACUCAAGCCAGUACUUCUGAUUGGGUAGUUGGUUUAGACUAUUCUUCUGGAACCACAGCUGUAGCUUCUGCUGCUGCCAUCAGAUGGGUGUCAAAAGAUGGAAUUGGUGCCAUUGGACAUUUUUUCAUUGGUGGAAGAUUUGGGAAUCUUUUUGAUGAUGAUCCAAAACAAUGGCGCAUGUAGGCAGACUUCAUUGGAAGUGCUGGAAGUAAAGGAUCUUCUGAAAUGCAUCGCGAACAAUACGAGGAUAGUAAUGCCGAGACAAAAGUCAAGAUUGAGAAUUUGAAAAAGUUAGUUGAGACACAACGCGAACAAUAUGAGGAUAUUCAACAAAAAUAUGAGGAUGUUCAGCAAAAAUAUGAGGAUGCUCAGAAAAAAAAUGUGGAGUUUCAGCAGAAAAAUGUGGAUGUUCAAGCAAAGUUUGAAUAACUUAGCACAAGCAAUGAAUGUCAUUAACACAUUGAGUGGGCAAGUCAAAACUUUUAUUAAGCAAUGAUAGAAUAUUAUGUAUCGAAUAAUGUUUUACGUUAAAUUUGUAGCGACUUUUAAUUUUGAAAUAUGUAUCUUUUGAUGUAUUGGAUAUUUCUUUUAGUUUCUAUAGAAAUACUUUGUUAUUUUUGGUUUUAUAUUAAUUGUAUUUUUGUAAA